rnacentral:ribozyme from 1 species
GAAAAGGAAAGAGAGAAAGAAUAAAGAAAGAAUCUCAUCAACAUACAAAAAGAAAAGAAAGAUCGCAGGACAGUUUCCCUCUUCUUUCCUACCAUUUGCUCAACUCUCUCUGCCUCACUUUACUUUGCUUUCUCAUGAU